GUGCCAGCGCUGGCGGCAGGCUUACACAUGCAAGUCGAGCGGAGAGAGGUAGCUUGCUACUGAUCUUAGCGGCGGACGGGUGAGUAAUGCUUAGGAAUCUGCCUAUUAGUGGGGGACAACAUUUCGAAAGGAAUGCUAAUACCGCAUACGUCCUACGGGAGAAAGCAGGGGAUCUUCGGACCUUGCGCUAAUAGAUGAGCCUAAGUCGGAUUAGCUAGUUGGUGGGGUAAAGGCCUACCAAGGCGACGAUCUGUAGCGGGUCUGAGAGGAUGAUCCGCCACACUGGGACUGAGACACGGCCCAGACUCCUACGGGAGGCAGCAGUGGGGAAUAUUGGACAAUGGGCGCAAGCCUGAUCCAGCCAUGCCGCGUGUGUGAAGAAGGCCUUAUGGUUGUAAAGCACUUUAAGCGAGGAGGAGGCUACUUUAGUUAAUACCUAGAGAUAGUGGACGUUACUCGCAGAAUAAGCACCGGCUAACUCUGUGCCAGCAGCCGCGGUAAUACAGAGGGUGCAAGCGUUAAUCGGAUUUACUGGGCGUAAAGCGCGCGUAGGCGGCUAAUUAAGUCAAAUGUGAAACCCCCGAGCUUAACUUGGGAAUUGCAUUCGAUACUGGUUAGCUAGAGUGUGGGAGAGGAUGGUAGAAUUCCAGGUGUAGCGGUGAAAUGCGUAGAGAUCUGGAGGAAUACCGAUGGCGAAGGCAGCCAUCUGGCCUAACACUGACGCUGAGGUGCGAAAGCAUGGGGAGCAAACAGGAUUAGAUACCCUGGUA
rnacentral:rRNA from 1 species